rnacentral:rRNA from 1 species
CCUACGGGAGGCAGCAGUAGGGAAUUUUCCGCAAUGGGCGAAAGCCUGACGGAGCAAUACCGCGUGAGGGAUGACGGCCUGUGGGUUGUAAACCUCUUUUCUCAAGGAAGAAGUUCUGACGGUACUUGAGGAAUAAGCAUCGGCUAACUCUGUGCCAGCAGCCGCGGUAAUACAGAGGAUGCAAGCGUUAUCCGGAAUCACUGGGCAUAAAGCGUCUGUAGGUUGUUUAGUAAGUCUGCUGUUAAAGACUGGGGCUUAACCCCAGAAAAGCAGUGGAAACUGCUAGACUCGAGUGUGGUAGAGGUAGAGGGAAUUCCUAGUGUAGCGGUGAAAUGCGUAGAUAUUAGGAAGAACACCAAUGGCGAAGGCACUCUACUGGGCCAUAACUGACACUGAGAGACGACAGCUAGGGGAGCAAACGGGAUUAGAUACCCCGGUAGUCCUAGCCGUAAACGAUGGAUACUAGAUGUUGCACGUAUUAACCCGUGCAGUAUCGUAGCUAAGGCGUUAAGUAUCCGCCUGGGAAGUACGCUCGCAAGAGUGAAACUCAAAUGAAUUGACGG